GCAGAUGUGGUGUAGUGGUUUCAGUGUUGGACUAUAACUCUAGAGACAAGGGUUCGAAUCCCAGCUCGACCA
rnacentral:tRNA from 1 species